rnacentral:rRNA from 1 species
CCUACGGGUGGCAGCAGUAGGGAAUAUUGCUCAAUGGGGGAAACACUGAACCAGCCACGCCGCGUGGGGGAUGAAGGUUUUCGGAUUGUUAACCCCUUUUGUUAGAGAAUCUAAUGACGGUAUCCAACGAAUAAGCAGCGUAUAACUCCGUGCCACCAGCCGCGGUAAUACGGAAGGUGCAAGCGUUACUCGGAAUCAAUGGGCGUAAAGAGCGCGUAGGCGGGUUAGCAAGUCAGAUGUGAAAUCCUAUGGCUUAACCAUAGAACUGCAUUUGCAACUGUUAUUCUAGAGUAUGGGAGAGGUAGGUGGAAUGCUUGGUGUAGGGGUAAAAUCCGUAGAGAUCAAGAGGAAUACUCAUUGCGAAGGCGACAUGCCAGAACAUCACUGACGCUGAUGCACGAAAGCGUGGGGAGCAAACAGGAUUAGAUACCCCGGUAGUC